rnacentral:misc_RNA from 1 species
GAUGAAGAACGUAGCGAAAUGCGAUAAGUAAUGUGAAUUGCAGAAUUCAGUGAAUCAUCGAAUCUUUGAACGCAUCUUGCGCUCCUUGGUAUUCUGAGGAGCAUGCCUGUUUGAGUGUCAUUAAAUUCUCAACCGCACUGACUUUGAAUUGGUGUGGCUUGGAUUUGGGGGAAAAAUUGUUGUGGGCUUUUUUGUAUAGUCUGCUCCCCUGAAAUUGAUUAGCGGUACCUUUGUGGAACUGUCUACAGGUGUGAUAAUUAUCUACAUCCUAGACAUCUGCUGGAAUGCUGCUUUCUAAACCUUACUUGUAUUGACAAUCUUGACCUCAAAUCAGGUAGGACUACCCGCUGAACUUAAGCAUAUCAAUAAGCGGAGGA